rnacentral:rRNA from 1 species
GACGAACGCUGGCGGCGUGCUUAACACAUGCAAGUCGAACGGAAAGGCCCUGCUUUUGUGGGGUGCUCGAGUGGCGAACGGGUGAGUAACAAGUGAGUAACCUGCCCUUGACUUUGGGAUAACUUCAGGAAACUGGGGCUAAUACCGGAUAGGAGCUCCGGCUGCAUGGUGGGGGUUGGAAAGUUUCGGCGGUUGGGGAUGGACUCGCGGCUUAUCAGCUUGUUGGUGGGGUAGUGGCUUACCAAGGCUUUGACGGGUAGCCGGCCUGAGAGGGUGACCGGCCACAUUGGGACUGAGAUACGGCCCAGACUCCUACGGGAGGCAGCAGUGGGGAAUAUUGCACAAUGGGCGGAAGCCUGAUGCAGCAACGCCGCGUGCGGGAUGACGGCCUUCGGGGUGUAAACCGCCUUCGCCUGUGACGAAGCGUGAGUGACGGUAAUGGGUAAAGAAGCACCGGCUAACUACGUG